rnacentral:rRNA from 1 species
UACGGAGGGAGCUAGCGUUGUUCGGAAUUACUGGGCGUAAAGAGCUCGUAGGCGGCUUGUCACGUCGGGUGUGAAAGCCCGGGGCUUAACCCCGGGUCUGCAUUCGAUACGGGCUGGCUAGAGUGUGGUAGGGGAGAUCGGAAUUCCUGGUGUAGCGGUGAAAUGCGCAGAUAUCAGGAGGAACACCGGUGGCGAAGGCGGAUCUCUGGGCCAUUACUGACGCUGAGGAGCGAAAGCGUGGGGAGCGAACAGG